UACGUAGGGUGCAAGCGUUGUCCGGAAUUAUUGGGCGUAAAGAGCUCGUAGGCGGUUCGUCGCGUCGGCUGUGAAAUCCCGAGGCUCAACCUCGGGUCUGCAGUCGAUACGGGCGGACUGGAGUUCGGCAGGGGAGACUGGAAUUCCUGGUGUAGCGGUGAAAUGCGCAGAUAUCGGAAGGAACACCAGUGGCGAAAGCGGCUUCCUGGUCCGACACCGACGUUCAGGCACGAAAGCGUGGGGAGCAAACAGG
rnacentral:rRNA from 1 species